GACAGAGGUCUCGAGCGUUAGGCGGAAUCACUGGGCUUAAAGCGUGUGUAGGCGGAGUUCUAAGUACCUUGUGAAAUCCCACGGCUUAACCGUGGAACUGCUUGGUAUACUGGUUCUCUUGGGCCACUUAGGGGCUACCGGAACAAACGGUGGAGCGGUGAAAUGCGUAGAUAUCGUUUGGAACGCCAAUGGUGAAAACAGGUAGCUGGGAGUGUGCCGACGCUGAGACACGAAAGCCAGGGGAGCGAACGGG
rnacentral:rRNA from 1 species